UACGAAGGUGGCUAGCGCUGUUCGGAAUUACUGGGCGUAAAGCGUGCGCAGGCGGCUUCUCAAGUCAGGGGUGAAAGCCCAGAGCUCAACUCUGGAAUUGCCUUUGAGACUGAGUGGCUUGAGUACGAGAGAGGUGAGUGGAAUUCCCAGUGUAGAGGUGAAAUUCGUAGAUAUUGGGAAGAACACCGGUGGCGAAGGCGGCUCACUGGCUCGUAACUGACGCUCAUGCACGACAGCGUGGGGAUCAAACAGG
rnacentral:rRNA from 1 species